GGCGGGUUGCGGGAGCUGCGAGCGGCCGUCUCGUCUAACCCUAAAGAGAAAGGCGUAGGUGCUUGGCCUUGGCGACUCGCCCGCUGUUUUUUGGCUGGCUUUCAGCGGGUGAAGAGGCCCAAGACCUACCGCCACCCACCGUCUAGUGUCUUAAGGGCACAAAGUCCUGCCCGCCACCCUUCGAGGAGCGAAACCCAAAAAAGUCAGCCCCUGGCCGCCUCUCGCCCUCUCGCAACCCGCCUCCGUCCCAGCCUCCAUCCCCGCCCCAGGCCGCGGUCGGUCCGGGCUUCUUCGGAAGUCCCGUUGCCGUCGCGAAGAGUUCGCCUCUGUCAGCCGCGGGGCUUGGGGCCAGGGACGGGACCCUGUCCGCAGGGAGAGAAACUGGAGCCGGGCCCUCCACGGUGCCUCCCCGAGCUGUGGGAUCUGCACCCGGGACUCGAACCCUACACUU
rnacentral:telomerase_RNA from 9 species